rnacentral:rRNA from 1 species
UACGGGGGGAGCAAGCGUUGUUCGGAUUUACUGGGCGUAAAGGGCGCGUAGGCGGUCAUGACAAGUCACUUGUGAAAUCUCCGGGCUUAACUCGGAACGGUCAAGUGAUACUGUCGGACUAGAGUACAGAAGGGCAACUGGAAUUCUCGGUGUGGCGGUGAAAUGCGUAGAUAUCGAGAGGAACACCUGCGGCGAAGGCGGGUUGCUGGGCUGAUACUGACGCUGAGGCGCGAAAGCCAGGGGAGCGAACGGG